GAUCAUUAAAACGAGCCGAGAAAGCGGGUGGGGGGAGGCGCCACGCCCGACCCCCCCCGCUGCACCUCGCCAACCCGUGUAUACCUUUAACCCGUUGCUUCGGCGGGCCCGCCGCCCAGGCGGCCGCGGGGGGGCCCUCGCGUCCCCCCGGCCAGCGCCCGCCGGAGACCCCCAACCACGAACGCUUGAGGGCGGACCCCACCGGGGAACCCGCCUCCUUUCUUUUGCUGUCUGAGCAGUCGCAAACAAGCGAAACAAAAAAAAAUUAAAAACUUUCAACAACGGAUCUCUUGGUUCCGGCAUCGAUGAAGAACGCAGCGAAAUGCGAUAAGUAAUGUGAAUUGCAGAAUUCAGUGAAUCAUCGAAUCUUUGAACGCACAUUGCGCCCCCUGGCAUUCCGGGGGGCAUGCCUGUCCGAGCGUCAUUACUGCCCUCAAGCCCGGCUUGCGUGUUGGGCCCCCGUCCCCCGCCCCUCGGCGGGGGGCCGGCCCGAAAGGCAGCGGCGGCGCCGUGCCCGGUCCUCGAGCGUAUGGGGCUUCGUCACCCGCUCUGGAGCACCGGCCGGAGGCCAUGCCGGACGCCCACCGCCUCGGCGGUGGACCACAAUUUUCAACCAAAGGUUGACCUCGGAUCAGGCAGGGAUACCCGCUGAACUUAAGCAUAUCAAUAAGCGGAGGA
rnacentral:misc_RNA from 1 species